CUUGGGAAAUCGUUUGUUCCGUGCUUCUCACGAGGAGAAGCCGGAUUUUCAGAGCUUGAAUAUGUCCUGCACCAGGGGAGAAGUAGCUUCAUGUGCCCCCAACCCCUCCUUCCUUUUGAACAGGAAUUCUAACUGCAGUUCAAACAAUAUUUCCUCCCCUUAAGAGACCACCUGGUUCGAACGGUGAAGACUUUGGUGAACAAGCCUGGAGCGGUGAAUGGAAUGCUAUGGGUGUGCUCACAGUACCAUGAAGUGGUGCCGUGGUGCCGGGAGAGGUGUGCACAGACCAGCUGGGUCACCACAGUCAAAGGUGGCUCUCGGCGAGGGAGAGAUGCUCACAGGAUGCGGUCCUACCCAUUUUAUUCAUUCGCUGAGCCACACGGCCAGCCUGCCAUUGUAUGUAUACGCAUCAAGUAUUCGCUAGGCUGCUUGUGAAAGGGAUGCAAAGGCCAAUGAAGCAAGGCCUCAGGAAGCCCAGAGGCUGCCCAAGCUAUGCACCGUCACAACACGCUCUCUUGUACGUGCAGCUCUUGGAAUCUCCUGAAAUAAAUAAUGAGCACAAAAAAAGGGAGAUGAAUUACCACUGAUGCUCUCCUGGGACAGAGAAGCCUUCUGAGCUGCCUCCAGAGCAAGCCAUCCUCCCAGCUGCCUGAGCCAGAAACAGACUAUCCUUGAUUGAUUGAUUACAUCGCGCAUCUGAUCAAUCACCACAUUUUGUCCAUUCUAACUUUCAGGUGUCUCAAGAAUACAUUUGCUUCCCUCUGUUCUCAGUUCAGCCACUAUCAUCUUCCAUUGAAAUACUACAGCAAUUUCAGUGGGUCCCUGGCCUUCCUUUCCUCCAACCCAG